CCUUCGACUUCCUUAUCUGUUCUUAGCAUGACUGUACUUUUUCUAGGAUUGUGUUUUUAAGAUUGGCUUUGUUUAUAAUGGAUUAGUCAUAAAUAGUUUUUCAAGUUACUGAUUUUACAAAUGACUUUAGUUACUUUAAUGCAUUAAAUAUAAUUAUUGCUUCUUUUUGGAGGUAAAAGUAAUAUUACUUAGUCACAUAGUAAGAGCAGUUGAUUAAUUUUUUUGUGCAGUGUUAGUGCAAAUAAUUAGAGUAAAAGGUGAACAUACUAUAUUAUUUGGAUAAUGAUUUAAAUUCAGAUUUGCCUAGAAAAUACCUUUCUCAAUAUCUCUCAACAAUGUGUUUCUUUAUGUUAUGAUUGUUUAUGAAAAGGAAAUGGUCUGGUUGUGCUAGACAGACAGUUGUAACUCAAGAUAACAUAACUUUGGAUUGUCUAAGUGAUUGUUUGUUUUAACCCCUUCUCCUGGAAACUCUUUGAAAGAUGGAAUGAAUUAAUGAGACAAAAGAGAGAACUGAUACCUGGGAAGUCACUGUCCUUAGGUGUGUGUUUAUAGUCCUAAGGGGAAGAGGUUUUAGAAGUCAUUUGAUAACUAGCAAGACCAUAUGUGGAUAUGUGAGAAGUGAGUCAUGAACAUGAUUGUAUCAUUUUAGACUUAAAAUAGUCACUGUUUUAUUAACAUAUGGUGUUAUGAAAAUUUUCUCUAUAUGAAGAGUAAGUGGGUAAUUAAGAGCCCAAAAAUCGGGGGUUGGAGAGAGCUAGCUCAGCUGUUAAGAGCACUGAAUGUUCAUCUAGAGAUCCUGAAUUCAGUUCCCAGCAACCACACGGUGGCUCACAACCAUUUGUAAUGAGAUCUGAUGUCUUCUUCUAGUGUGUCUGAAGACAGCUCCAAUGUACUCAUAUAAAUAAAAUAAGACCUAGGGAGCCAAUGAGUGUUUAAAAAAAAAAAGUCCAAAUAUC
rnacentral:lncRNA from 1 species